GAACCGUCCAAACGUUUAUUCGGAAUCACUGGGCUUAAAGGGUGCGUAGGCGGUCCGGAAAGUUGGGUGUGAAAUCCCUCGGCUCAACCGAGGAAUUGCGCCCAAAACUUCCGGACUCGAGUGAGGCAGAGGUGAGCGGAACUUGCGGCGGAGCGGUGAAAUGCGUUGAUAUCGCAAGGAACACCAGUAGCGAAGGCGGCUCACUGGGCCUUUUUCUGACGCUGAGGCACGAAAGCUAGGGUAGCGAACGGGAUUAGAUACCCCGGGUAGUCCUAGCUGUAAACGAUGAGCACUUGGUUGGAGGAGCUUCGGUUCUUCCCAGCCGUAGCGAAAGUGUUAAGUGCUCCGCCUGGGGAGUAUGGUCGCAAGGCUG
rnacentral:rRNA from 1 species